rnacentral:lncRNA from 1 species
CUUUCCUAGAGGCUGGAUAGGAUACUUGGCAGAAUUCAGUAGGAAGGGGAGUGGAGGCUGUUUGCAAAUUAAACCGGAAACAAAGAUGCCAAACAGUCCAUUUAAAGGGCCCUUGAAGCUCUCACCUGAGAUGCCUGUUAUACGUUCCUCCUCCAGCUUUGCUGAAGGACGAUGUUUUAAGCAGCUCUUCCUCCUAAAGAAGUUAUCAGCUUGGGUUUAAAUUACCUCUUGGGAGGUAAAUCCUCAACUAGAGGCAACCCUGAAUCAUCGGAACAUGUUGGGGUCAGACACCUUCAGAUAAGCAUCAGUGCAACAACAAGAGAGCUUUCUUACAGCAAAAUGGAAAUUUAGACCAAGAGACACAAAGUACCGGGAAAAAACAGAAGAAACCUGGUGUGGUGAGUAGAGAAGGAACGAGUUUUCGGGGAAACUGUUCUUACUGGCUAAUCACAGUGAUGGAGUCAGUUGUCUGUCUGCCAAGUGUUCGACGGUGCUCCUAAUUCACUGAGGGGAACGGUUCAUGUUUAACUCAAGUCAAAACAUAGAGAUAGGGUAGGAUUUUCUUAUUUUCCAUGUUUGUGGAUGAAACAUCUGGAAUAAGGCUAAUCAUUUUAUCAGUUUGGGGGUGUGUAAGAGCAGAGACACUAACAGAAUAAAAUAGAGCUCCCAGAGUUUUGUCGUCCAGGGAACGUUACAAGAAUCUUCUCUUUCUUCACCCAGUUCACCACUGAAAGUGAACACGUACUCAAAUACCUCAGGGACGCCUAACAGCUGAUCAACCUAAUUCCACAACUGUCUUAUUAACUUAUAACUUUUAAGUAUGUAAAUAUUCUGUACGUGCAUACAAUACAGAUAUGAGUGAGUGUGGAGCAGAUUUUGGAAAUGUUCAGUUCUUUUAAUGAGAAAGAGAAACUAGUUUAUAAAUCUCACUUGUCAGACCCAUGUAGGAGGGAUAUUUUGUUUUUCUCCUAAAAACAACAUUUUCUUUGUAAUAUGGAAAAUAUAGAAAUAUGGACUAUUUCCUUGCCAUAUGAAAUAAUAUGGAAAAUAAAGAAGCUAUGCUCUUGAAUAUACUAUUUUCAUAUGACAUUUGGUUUCUCGUUAAUAGAAUAAUGGUGUAAUAAAUAGUAGACUAAGGUUAGCUAUUAAAAGUGCAAGGGAAAUAUCUCAUUUAUAUAUUUGUAAAUUAAAACCCCAAGGAGAAAUGAUGGAGAGCAUAUUGGUUUGGAAAGCACAAAUCUCCUUUAUCCCUCAGUUUCCUCUUUUCUGAAGCCUCAGAUUCUUCCCUCUACCAAGAGUCAGGCAUUGGAACCCACAACCAUUCCUGCCUUUAACAAGGCGAAAAUCAGACUAUGAAGCUGGACCAAAGGACAUAGGCAGAAGGAACUGGCUGUCAGUUUCUUACUUGGGUGAGUUCUAACACGGCAAUAAGGUUUCUUUACCAAGACUUCCUCUCUCCCCACAUCUCUUUACGCACUAAAACUUCGAACCCUCAUCUCAUCUCAGGGAGGUCUCUGUGCCUUCAUCAUCCUGCCUUGGAGCUUUCUGUAGACUAUCUGUUUUGCUAGGAAAUGCCCUACUGUGCAAGUCACUAACUCUUUUUCUUUCUGCAGAUGAUUUCAGUUACAGAAUUCCUACCUUGCCUUUCCCUAACUGAUGGAAUACAAGUAAAGAAUUCACCUGGGGCCGUCCUAUCUAAAGCUGCAACUAAACUUAACUCCUUCUUUCAGAAGGCAGUAUGAUAGAGUGGAAAGAACAUGGACUUGGGAAUUGAGCAAUCCUUGGUUUGGAGGGAAAAAACUGAAUGUUGGUUGCCACAUGAAUUGUGUGAAAUUACUUUUAGCUUUGGUCCCUUAGAGCUUCAUCUUGAGAUAAUACCGUCUACCACAUGUGAUUAAUAUGAGUAUUAAAUGCAUGAAUAAUGUCUGAUAGGCACUGAAUAGAUAUAGUCCCUACUCCAUUCCACAGAAGGCACUUGUCUUUUUUUUUUUUUUUUUUUUUCGGUGAGGAAAAUUGUCGCUGAGCUAACACUCUCCUUUUCAGGACUUUGCCUUAUAAAUCUAGCCGUCUUGGUAUCCUCGGACUUUGAUGUUGUUCUCUUCACCUCAGUAGGAGUGUCAGGUUCCUUGGGUUCCCUUUCCCCUGCAGUAUGGCCUGAAGUUGGCUCUAAACGGUAAGCUAGGAGAUCCUAAAGCUCAUCUCAUUUGUUUCCUUUCUCUCAAUGAUGACAGUCCUAUGCUGCCUAUUGUCAAAUGUCUGAAAACCAUUGUUUCAUCUGUUUUAUCAAGUUUAUAUUGAAGGGUAAUUCCUGUUGCUGCUAAUUCUUCUUGGUCAAAGGAGAAAUCUGCCAGUCUCCUGUAGACUUACUCUAAUAAGCUUGUGCUCCACCAUUCUGCUGAAACUCUUUGCAUCAAGGCCACCAAUGAUCUCCAGAUUGUGAAAUCUAAUAUACCUGUAUUUAAGAUUCACAAAAGACUGUUAACUCUCCUCCAGAACUCAUGAAACUACUAUUGAUGACACAAGUAGGGCAACAUGCAAGAGCACUAAGUGAACUAUGUAGUAUUUUAAGUCUAAAGAAAAUUAGUCAUGGAUUCUCAAGACUUUCUCAGCACGAGGCUCACCUGGGUGAGAUGCAAUUUGUUUUAAGAUGCACCCAGGAUUUUGUUUUUAUUCAGGUGUGGUGAGGACAACAGAUCACGAGACACUUGCCAGAUACCUUGUUAAGCACUGUUUCCAGGAGAAGGGGGAAUGCCUCGUCACCCCGGGCCACAUGGGGAAGUGGCAGGGUCAGUCAGAAGGAGUGAGGGGAAAGCACGGGCAAGAGCCUUUAUUGUGGUUUUUGUGGGAAGGAAUCUGCAACACAGGGUAAGCAGCUGGUCAGGCAUAGGAUUGGAUAGUUUGAAUAAUUUCAGUAGGCUCUGGGCUAUAGGGGUGGCCCCUAGUUGUCCAGUACCUGGCCCUAGAGCGAAUAGGGCAGAGGAGUAUGCCUCCUGGAGCAUAAAAAUCAGAUGAGGAGGUGGUUUGGAGUACGGGCUCUGGAUUGGUUAGUUUGCAUGUGGAAGGUGUGCUUGCAGCCAAGUUGUUUGCUCUCUCUAGGAAUUAGCUAACCCUGGGAGGGCCAGUCCCUCCACUGUCCACAAGGCCCCAAGAUAGCAAAGCAUCAUAAAAUACAGAUAAUAAAAAAUAUUAUUAAUAGUCAAGAAAUAAGAAAAUGACCCACCUCACAGAGAUUUCCCUUCAUUGGGGAAUGAGAGCGGGCAGAUACAAUGAUUCCAGGAGACUCUGGGGCAGGCACGGGUCGAGGGGCCAGGCAUCAGAGCCAUUGCAGUGCGUUGGUCCCCGUCUUCUCUCAGCUGGGUUACUGCAGUCUCCUCCUUGCUUCUAGUUGUACUUUCCUUCUCCACGCUGUAUUCAGUGAUGUUUAUAUGACACAUGUCUGAUCUUAGCGCUCACCUGUUCAACACUCUGCAGUGGCACACCUCCAAUAAAGUGAGCCAUGUGAAUUUUUUGGUUUCUCAGUGCAUAUAAAAGUUAUGUUUCCACUAUACUGUAGUCUAUUAAGUCUCCAAAAGCAUUAUGUCUAAGAAAACAAUGUACAGACCUUAAUUUAAAAAUGCUUUAUUGCUAAAACUGCUAACCAUCAUCUGAGCCUUCAGCAAGUCAUAAUCUUUUUGCUGGCGGAGGGUCUUGUAAAAAAAAUGCAAUAUUUGCAGAGCGCAAUAAAACGAGGUGUGCCUGUACUUGUAGAAUCAGCCCAAACUUCCUAACAUGGAAGAUAGCUAUUAUUGAGUCGCAUUUCUUGCCAUGAGCCACUCCCUCCUCCCAAUGCCCUACCCUCACCGAACCCCUCCCCGCCAUGCACACAGUUCCACAGCACAGGCAGUUAUACUGAAUUUCCCCCACUUCUUUAAAGACAUCAAGCUCUUCUUUCUAGUGCUUCACCCUUAUUCCUUCUUGUUCAAAGGAUGCUUCAGACCUUGGUUGAAGCAUAGCCUCCUCAGAGAGGUUUCUCCUGACUGUCCCCCAAUCCAGGUCGGCCUCGGGGACCCGCUCAGUCUUCAUGGCACUCUCUGCUUCCCCAUCACAGCUCUAACCACACUUCUAUAAAUGCCUAUUUACUCCUCUCACUUGCCACGAGGACAGGGACCAUGUAAAUUGUGUUCGCUCUUGUAUUAUCAGCACCUAGUACGAUGCUUGGCACAUGACAGUCUUUCAGGAAAUGUGUGAAAAUGUGUAUGAAUGAAUGAAGCCUCAAAGCUUGAGACCCAGGCCUGGGCUGGGCAGAGAGGAGAUUGAGGCAUUCCUGGAGGGGUCUGAGCUGAGACACUGAGUCAGGCUUCUAACGUUUUUUCCGCUGAGAUGAGUGGGGUUGGGCCUGGGAUAGGGAGAUCAUAAACCUCCAUUCCUGACCUUAAAUUAGAACCAAACUGGUGUCGAGGGGAAGAGGAAAAGCAGAUAUACCAUUUUCUUGGGAAAUUUCUUCUCAGUAAUUUCACUCUAGGUCAUUUAGUUCUUUAUGCCCAAACAAGUUAAUGCAGCCGUCAGUUAUAGUAAGAGCUCUGAUCUUAAACUGGUUUAAAAUGAGGACCGGGAUGACGACGCUCAACAGAAGAAGAUGAGUCUUAAGAAAUCCAGUGUUGUUGAAAAAUAAUAAAAUUCUAACACUUUAUAAACUUUGUGAUAUUCCUCUUUAAUUUCGGCAUUAGAUAGAGGUGAUGAAUAUUACAUCUCCAUUUUGCUGAACCUAUAACAUAAGCCGCAUUUUCCAGAGAAAGAUAAUUAAAUUUAUAAAAGAUUUGAGAAAGAAAUCCCCAAAAGCUAAAGAAAACUUUUGGGAGGAAAAGAAGUUACUCAAAAACCUACAAAGGAAAAAGAGAUGAGAGGAAGGUGUGGAGGUGUUGAGUGCCUAUCGUCCAUUUGAUUGAGGUCCAGACUGGAGGAACUGGCCCGAAAUUGCAGCAGGAUGCAUCAGGCUGGACAGCAGGGAGAGGGAGCGACCUCAACUCUCUUUCUCUCUGAAUACACACACACACGCACACACACACACGCACACACACAGACCAGUUUAUACCUGAUUUGUUUAAAAGCAGCUCCAUUCAAAAGAGAAGAGACUAUCCCAAACCACAUUCCAAAGCAACUUCAAGCAUUAAAUAAUGGAUUUUUUUCUUCCUCUAGCAGUUUCUUUUGCAAAAGAAGAGGACGCUACACGGUUUGAUUUCUCUUGUUUAGAGCUUUGUCAGCAUUGUUUGUUCCACUUCAAGAAGACAUUUUCAGAAGUUGUGAAAAUCACCGAUAACAUCAACGCCAUCAUCAGAAAAGCAGCCACCUGCCCACUGCGAAUUAUAGACGUGAUAAACCAGGGACUACAUGCAAAUGGGCGAGGAUGUGGCCCACUCCCUGAAGGAUGAACGCUCUCUGCAAGAGAAACCCCAGCACUGAAAUUCCUGCCUGCCGAAGGACCCUCCAUCCUGGGCAACUGACAGCUGGUCACCCUACAAAAGAUAUCUUGUCUCUUAGAACCUAAGGCAAACUGUAACAAUAACAGAAAAAAGGGUGAAAUUAUUGAGCCAUAACUUCCUUGAGGCCUCUAAUGUGAAGAAUCUUUAUCAGCUUGAGGAAUUUCUAAUACUUUUAAUUUUCAGCAGCACUAUGUGAAAAAUUGAGUAGGGGUCCCUGUAGAGAAGAUCAGAAAAGCGUAGAUCUGGAAUUGCCAUCUUAACUGACAGGGAGGUGUGGCAAGUGGAGAUAUCAAACAAGUAAAUGAAAAUUACUUACAAAUAAACAAGUUUCGUGAAUUUGUUCAUUAUUUUUCCUGUCUCACGCACAUUGGCUGCCAAAUUGCUAGAAGCUGGCUAGCCAACCAGCUAGAUGAGUGAUAGAUUAGUCUAUGCCAAUCGUAAACCUAGAAUUUAAAAAAUCAUUCCAUUUUCUCUACUAUUUUGUCUAUUUAAUUUUUGAUCAUCUACAUCUAGGUAGUAUUCACUUAAGUAAGAAAAUUAUAAUAAGAAAAUUUGUUUCUAAAAAAAUCUGAAAAAUUCAUAUACAUUAUCAUAGGCUUUAAACAGACUUUUUCUCCCGUUGAAUCAUCAAAUUUCAAGCCAGCUCUGCGCUGAUGCCCAGCUGUGGUGGAGAAGAAAGAGUUUGCAUUUUGGGGUCCGACAGAUUUACUGGCUGUGUCAUCUUGGGCAAGUUACUUAGCCUUUCUGAUUCCAGUUUCUUCCUCUAUACAAUGUGUAUAAUACCAACAACCUCAAAGCAUUGUGUGAGAAUCAAACGACGUUGUGUAUAAAGCGCCUGGCAAGUGGAAGAUUCUCAGGAACUAAUAACGUACAUGAUUGACAGUAAAACAAGAUGGAGAAAGCCAAGAGGCAGUCCGAAAUGCCGCUGAAUCAAGCAUCAGUAUUUGCAUUAGGACUAAAUUUCUCACUUACUAACCUUGACCUUAAAAUAUACACUUGGCACCUCUGCCUUUGUUUCCUCAUCUGUAAAAUGGUAAUACUUUAUCCUUGUGUACCUCAAAGGAUUUUGAAGCUCAUUUUGAAGCUCAAGUGAGAUAAUAUUCCUGAGAGUGCAUGGAAGUUUGAAGUCCCAAACCUUUGGUUUGCAGUUUUAAAGAAAUAUAAAGAAAACUCUGAUUUACCACAAGGGGCUUUAUUGCUGAUUUGCUUCCACACUUUAAGGUUGAAAAUGACUUUAUACCAUGAGAGGAUCCUGUAGCUUAAAAAGUGCUAUUUUGGGUUGAAUCAUCUCGUGCCAUGUUUUACUCAUUCCACCUGCCUGGAGAACAGGACGAUGGGAAGAGUACACUUACGUCAAUGAAUGAGUGACAACAGUAAAUGGACAAAACUACAGUAUGGGGCUUACUUCAUGUUAUUUUUCUUCUGAAACUGGACAUAUGUUAGCCUCUCUUUUCAAACAGAGCAAAUAAGGGGGCUGGCCCCGUGGCCGAGUGGUUAAGUUCGCGCGCUCCGCUGCAGGCGGCCCAGUGUUUCAUUGGUUCGAAUCCUGGGCGCAGACAUGGCACUGCUCAUCAAACCACGCUGAGGCAGCGUCCCACAUACCACAACUAGAAGAACCCACAAAGAAGAAUAUACAACUAUGUACCGGGGGCUUUGGGGAGAAAAAGGAAAAAAUAAAAUCUUUAAAAAAAAAAAACAAAAAAAAACAGAGCAAAUAAGACAGAGCACACAGUAGCAGGGGUCAGCAACUUCCCGUAAAGGGCCAGAUAGUAAAUAUUUUCAGCUUUAUAAGCCAUGUGAGCUCUCUCUCUCUCUGCUGUUCAACUCUUGUUGUAAUGUAAAAUCAGACAUAGACAACAGAUAGACCAAUGGGUAUAACUGCAUUCCAAUGAAAGUUUGUUUACAAAAGCAGGCAGCAGAGGUUGGGAUGUGGCCGUGGUUUGUGACCUCUCACCUAGAGAUCACUGGUUGCUCUUUGAGCCCCCAGGACUGUUGAGUCAGAAUAAUGUGUAAAGAUGGCUAAGCAAGGUGUUAAAGCAAGAGAGACCAGGAAGGAGUUGAAAAUCGUAGUAGUAGGGCAUUGUUCCCUUUUAGAUCAAAUACAACCUUGGAUAUUUAGAAAUAUUGAAAUGUGGUAAGAUAUCUAUAUUUUCCUCAAUUCUCCAAAAAAUUUAAUAACUUUCAGUUAACAUAAUAUAUUCAUCACAUUUUAGCUGACAAAUUAAAAAAUGGCAGUAAGAAAAAAAUGGCAAGAAUAGAAAAAUGCAUUUUCAGUCAUGGAUGUUUUCAUGUUAUUUAUGCCGUGGUAACUAAGAUGAGAAUUGGAACUCAAAUACUCGACACAAAGUAAAGGAUGAUCUCUUCAUAGCCAAAAAAGUCAGGGAUAAUAUUUUCAUCACCAUAUUCUAAAAGUUAUAAGUGUAAAUCUCUCUGUAUCGAGGGAAGAAUAUAUCGAGAGGCACCUUCAACUAGGAAAAUGCAGAGUUCAGGCUGAAGAUUGCCAUCCUUAACCUACUUAGGUGAACUGGAGUUUUGCCAGUGUGCUACCACAGAGGAAAACGAAACUAUUUGCUAGCACCCUAAAAUACUAAAAAUCAAUAUUGGAAUUCAACAAGCUGGACUUUGGAUGGAUUUUUAAGACUUUGCUCUGAAUUAACAUGCUUUUGAAAAUUAAUAGUCAAUAUUAUUUAAUACAUACGUCAUGUCAUAUAUGAG